AGCUCCAAUAGCGUAUACUAAAGUUGUUGCGGUUAAAAAGCUCGUAGUUGGAUCUUGGAGCGUGUUCUCGCGGUCAAACCAAUGGUUUGUACUGCUUGAUGUGCUCUUCUAUUUGGUUGCGCGUGUGUGUUCUCUUAGUUGAGUGCCACACUCGACCGAAACGUUUACCUUGAAAAAAUUAGAGUGUUCAAAGCAGACCUGUUUGUGUCUGAAUAUUCGUGCAUGGAAUAAUGAAAUAUGAAUUCGGUUCUAUUUUGUUGGUUUUCGGAACUCGAGUUAAUGAUUAAGAGGGACAGACGGGGGCAUUAGUACUCUGCCGUUAGAGGUGAAAUUCUUGGAUCGGCGGAAGACUCGCAACUGCGAAAGCAUUUGCCAAGAAUGUUUUCU
rnacentral:rRNA from 1 species